UCUAAAAUAGCAUUAACAUGUGUUAUUCAGACAUGUGCCUUGAGUCUAUAGAAAGUAUAUAUAAACUCAAAAGAUGGUAAAUGAACUAAGCUUUAUCUAGUUUUAUAUAGUUUUCUUCAGUCACAUUGCUUCUGCAGAAGUAAAGAAUAAUAGAAUACUUCAGGCAAUCUAACCGUGGACUGGCAGUAAUUUCACAGUGUGUAUUUUAAAUAUCAUAGAAGAGUACUGAGAAUUAGCAAUUGCUAAGAUAAGCAUCAUGGCAGAGAGACCGGCAAAUUUAUUUGCAGUUUACAAACCUAGCAUGGAUGUUUUCUUUCAGUUUGUAGAAUUGGCAACUUGGAAGAUAUGAGAGCCUUCCUACAGCCAUGUCAUGCAGUUGCUGAAACACCAAGUUCUGCCAGUGUUCCCUAUCAGAGAUUAAUCUUAGAGAACAGGAAAGGUGCCAACUGUGAGAUUUUAUUAGAAUGGAAAUUUGAAUUAGCUGAAGACAAAGAAUUAUACCAUUCCAUACAAUGUUAUGUCUUAAACAAUAAUGUCACUUCUGCUAAAGCCCUGUUUGAGCAGUGAAAGCAAAGAAUACAACGUUUAAUUAUCUGUUUCUAAAGCAUUACGCAGUUUUGCUGAGGAAGACUGGAGCGUCUGUCUCUUUCAGUGAAACUCCUGAAAGCUCUGGGUUUUAUGUAAAGCAGCUAAAGAAAUCAAAUAAAUAG
rnacentral:lncRNA from 1 species